UUAAUUUUUAGAGUGAAAAAGCUUGUAUUUUUUAAAGGGACGAGAAGACCCUAUUGAGCUUGUAAUUUUAUUACUAUUGUUAAUAUUAUUUGAGUGGCAUAUAAAUUUUAAUUGGGGUGAUUAAGGAAUAAAAUGAUUUUUAGUAACUUCCUUAUACUUAAUAUUGUUAGAUAAAGUAACCAAUAUAUUAUUGCUUAUAUUAUAGUUACCAUAGGGAUAACAGCGUAAUUUGUUUAGAGAGUUCUUAUUGAAAAACAAGAUUGCGACCUCGAUGUUGGAUUAAAGUAACCUUAAGGUGCAGAAGCUU
rnacentral:rRNA from 1 species